GAUGAACGCUGGCGGCGUGCCUAACACAUGCCAGUCGAGCGGCAGCGCGGGGUGCUUGCACCCUGUCGGCGAGCGGCGGACGGCUGAGUAACGCGUGGGAACGUGCCCCAAAGUGAGGAAUAACUGCCCGAAAGGGUAGCUAAUACCGCAUAUUAUCUUCGGAUCAAAGGAUUUAUCCGCUUUGGGAGCGGCUCGCGUCGGAUUAGGUAGUUGGUGAGGUAAUGGCUCACCAAGCCGACGAUCCGUAGCUGGUCUGAGAGGAUGACCAGCCAGACUGGAACUGAGACACGGUCCAGACUCCUACGGGAGGCAGCAGUGAGGAAUCUUCCACAAUGGGCGAAAGCCUGAUGGAGCAACGCCGCGUGCAGGACGAAGGCCUUCGGGUUGUAAACUGCUUUUAUAAGUGAGGAAUAUGACGGUAACUUAUGAAUAAGGAUCGGCUAACUACGUG
rnacentral:rRNA from 1 species